rnacentral:tRNA from 1 species
AUUUAUAUAGUAUAUAGUAUAUAUGACUUCCAAUCAUAAGGUUUAUUUUUUAAUAAUAAUAUAAAUA